UACGAACUGUGCAAACGUUAUUCGGAAUCACUGGGCUUAAAGGGUGCGUAGGCGGCUUGUUAAGUAGGGUGUGAAAUCCCCCGGCUCAACCGGGGAAUUGCGCCCUAAACUGGCGAGCUGGAGUGAGAUAGGGGUGUGUGGAACUUCCAGGUGGAGCGGUGAAAUGUGUUGAUAUUGGAAGGAACGCCAGUGGCGAAAGCAACACACUGGGUCUCAACUGACGCUGAGGCACGAAAGCCAGGGGAGCAAACGGG
rnacentral:rRNA from 1 species